UGAUCUUUAACAUGCUAACCCGAAUCCAGAAUCCAUUCAUCCAAAUCCAUUAAUAUAUUAAUUGAACUCAUCCAUAUCAACACACUUUUUUUUUCCUCCUGAUUCGGCAACCUACUGCUGAAUUAGCUGACCCUUUCUCUUUUCUCUUUCUAAUCCUUUUUUGAUUCCUUUUCCCUGUUCCAUCUAUUCUCCCUCUCUUUACCCUCCACCAUGCAUCCAUAAUAGCAAGCCUCAUUCUAUGGAGCAGAUGGCUACUGCAUCCAUAGUAGCAACACUCCUAACUCUAAUCUUAACCCUCGUUUCUUUUUCGAUGAUGAACAAAAUGGAGAAGGAUGAUUGCUGCAUCCACAACAGCAACUCUCCUAACCCAUUUCC
rnacentral:lncRNA from 1 species